rnacentral:rRNA from 1 species
UAGCUAGUUGGUAGGGUAAGGGCCUACCAAGGCGACGAUCGGUAGCUGGUCUGAGAGGAUGGCCAGCCACACUGGAACUGAGACACGGUCCAGACUCCUACGGGAGGCAGCAGUGGGGAAUAUUGGGCAAUGGGGGGAACCCUGAUCCAGCAAUGCCGCGUGUGUGAAGAAGGCCUGAGGGUUGUAAAGCACUUUCAGUAGGGAGGAGGAUUUGGAGGUUAAGAGCUAUCAAAUUGGACGUUACCUACAGAAGAAGCACCGGCUAACUCCGUGCCAGCAGCCGCGGUAAUACGGAGGGUGCGAGCGUUAAUCGGAAUUACUGGGCGUAAAGGGUGCGUAGGUGGUUGGCUAAGUUAUCUGUAAAAUCCCUGGGCUUAACCUGGGCAGGUCAGAUGAUACUGGUUGACUCGAGUAUGGGAGAGGGUAGUGGAAUUUCCGGUGUAGCGGUGAAAUGCGUAGAGAUCGGAAGGAACACCAGUGGCGAAGGCGGCUACCUGGCCUAAUACUGACACUGAGGCACGAAAGCGUGGGGAGCAAACAGGAUUAGAUACCCUGGUAGUCCACGCUGUAAACGAUGUCAACUAGCUGUUGGUUAUAUAAAAAUAAUUAGUGGCGC